rnacentral:lncRNA from 1 species
UGAAUUUUUUUCAAUUUUCUCAUAUAACUUGUAUGAAACCAGAAUUAUCUCCUCCUUGAAAAUUCUAUAAGCUGUACUCAUACAACUGUACAGGCUUAUAGGUUUUGAGAGGGAGGGUCUUUGACCAGCAUUUUCAUAUAUUUAGUUCUUAUAGGUUGAUCCAGAUUCUGUUUCCGCUUGCAUCAAUUCUGCCAUUGUAUCUCUUUCUAGGAAUGUAGCCACUUCAUUUAAGUUUUCCAUUAUCCUGAAGCAUAUAGCACAUCUAAUACUCACUUAUUAAUUCUAAAUCUCUUUGUUUCUGUCAUUGUUUUUCCUUAUUCUGUGUUCUAAAUGACACUGAGUCCCGUUCUUUCUCCUACACCCAUAUUACCUUUAUUUAGAAGUUGAGGCUUUUGUAUUUAUUUUAAUAUCUACUUUUUUUUUUUCCUAGAAAAAACAAUUCGGGCUUGGGAUUUGCCAAAGAGGCUGCCUUUCUAACAGAGGUGUUCCUUGUCGAGGCUCCCAAGGACCACUCGGCUGGCUCUUCUCCAAAGCAGUUUCAAACCCAUCUCAGUCCCUAGCAACCAACCAACAAAGUAACAAACAAAUAAACGAAGCAGAACAAAGCAAAACAAAACAACCCUUGAUUAGCGGCACCACGUGGACAAAGGACAAACACCGUCGCACGACUCUCAAAGCUGUC